rnacentral:rRNA from 1 species
AUUGAACGCUGGCGGGAUGCUUUACACAUGCAAGUCGAACGAGCGGCGGACGGGUGAGUAAUGUAUCGGAACGUGCCCAGUAGCGGGGGAUAACUACUGGAAAGAGUGGCUAAUACCGCAUACUAUUGGAGCGACCCAUAUGGGAUUAGCUAGUUGGUGGGGUAAAGGCUCACCAAGGCGACGAUCCGUAGCUGGUCUGAGAGGACGACCAGCCACACUGGGACUGAGACACGGCCCAGACUCCUACGGGAGGCAGCAGUGGGGAAUAUUGGACAAUGGGGUCAACCCUGAUCCAGCCAUCCCGCGUGUAUGAGAAGGCCUUCGGGUUGUAAAGUACUUUUGGCAGAGAGGCGGUAUCUGCAGAAUAAGCACCGGCUAACUACGUGCCAGCAGCCGCGGUAAUUC